UACGAAGGGGGCUAGCGUUGCUCGGAAUCACUGGGCGUAAAGCGCACGUAGGCGGGUCUUUAAGUCAGGGGUGAAAUCCUGGAGCUCAACUCCAGAACUGCCUUUGAUACUGAGGAUCUCGAGUCCGGGAGAGGUGAGUGGAACUCCGAGUGUAGAGGUGAAAUUCGUAGAUAUUCGGAAGAACAUCAGUGGCGAAGGCGGCUCACUGGCCCGGUACUGACGCUGAGGUGCGAAAGCGUGGGGAGCAAACAGG
rnacentral:rRNA from 1 species